rnacentral:tRNA from 1 species
GCCGGGUUCGCUCAGCGGUAGAGCGUCUCGUUUACACCGAGGAUGCCGGAGUUCGAUCCCCUCACCCGGAA